AGAGUUUGAUCCUGGCUCAGAUUGAACGCUGGCGGCAGGCCUAACACAUGCAAGUCGAGCGGUAGAGAGGUGCUUGCACCUCUUGAGAGCGGCGGACGGGUGAGUAAUACCUAGGAAUCUGCCUGGUAGUGGGGGAUAACGUUCGGAAACGGACGCUAAUACCGCAUACGUCCUACGGGAGAAAGCAGGGGACCUUCGGGCCUUGCGCUAUCAGAUGAGCCUAGGUCGGAUUAGCUAGUUGGUGAGGUAAUGGCUCACCAAGGCUACGAUCCGUAACUGGUCUGAGAGGAUGAUCAGUCACACUGGAACUGAGACACGGUCCAGACUCCUACGGGAGGCAGCAGUGGGGAAUAUUGGACAAUGGGCGAAAGCCUGAUCCAGCCAUGCCGCGUGUGUGAAGAAGGUCUUCGGAUUGUAAAGCACUUUAAGUUGGGAGGAAGGGCAUUAACCUAAUACGUUAGUGUUUUGACGUUACCGACAGAUAGCACCGGCUAACUCUGUGCCAGCAGCCGCGGU
rnacentral:rRNA from 1 species